rnacentral:rRNA from 1 species
UUUGAAAGUUAACUACCCUGAACAAGCUCAAUCCCAUCUGAUCUUGGAAGCUAAGCAGGGUCGGGCCUGGUUAGUACUUGGAUGGGAGACCACCUAGAAGACCAGGUGCUGUAGACG